GUCCUGGCGAGGAAGGAAGGAGGGCGCGGGACGCCGGAGGGAGCUGCGCGGGGCCGAGGCUCCCACGCUUGCAAUCCCAAGGGACCCAGGGCCAAGGGCGCAGUAAGGGUGUGGGCUGGGAGGAGGGAGGGGUCGGGACGAGACGUGCCUGAGGGGAGGGAAGACACGGACUCCGGUUUAUUAAUAAACAUCUACGGUUUGUACGGCAUUUUAAGAUGUGCAGUGUGCUUUUGUAGGUACAUCGCCUUAUUUAACACAAAACCUCUCUGAGGUAGCUAUUACAUUUCACAGAAGGGUAAACGAGGCGUAGGUGGUUUGAGUGAUUUGCUUGAGAUCGUUCGGCUAAUAAAGCAAAAUUGGGACACAAGGCUUUUGUCAUUUUUAAAAAACAUAAUAUUGAAGGCCUGGUAUGUUCCGAACCCUGUGCUGAGGCUAGGAAUACAAAAAAGGACCAGGCCGGUGUGGCCUCUGGGCUAGAGGAGCAGGGGUACUCCGGAGGCUAGAGGGGAGAGAGGGGACGAUAGUGACUACAAAUUAAGUAAAUGUGAUCAUGACCGACAUAUGUUGGGCCCUUUGAAUUGCGUUAUCAACACAGUUCUAAGUGCUUACAUCCUUUAUCUCUUUUAAUCUUUUCAAUAACCUUACAAGUACAAUUUACAGGUGAAGAAACCGAGACAUGAAGGGCUUAAAUAAAUAUGCCUAAGGACAUAUUUAUGAGUCUAGAAUCCAUGCUCAUUACACUAUUCUGUAUUGUUCAAAUAUAAUGUAAUAAAACGGCCUUAUAGUCUGCUGCCACAGGAUGGAGACAUCUUAGGGAAUCUUUGGACUGACAGCUAAAAGAUAAGAGCGAACUAGUUUGGGGUAGUAGGAUAUUUAAAACAACAUUACGUGCAGAUCUGCUUGUGCAAAAACGGAACUGGAAAGAAGGCCUAAGUCUGGCUAAAGUUCAGAAAGUAAAGUGGAGAGUACUGUGAGAUGAGGUUGUAAGUAGAUGGAGGCAAGUGGUUUUUGUUGUUGUUUUUGUUUGUUUGUUCUAAAUAAUGAUAGGGUUUAGCUAUGUUGCCCAGGUCUGCGUUGAACUCCUGGGCUCAAGCGAUUCUCCUGCUGCAGCCGGCUGAGUAAUGGGAACUACAGGCGUGCAUCAUGGGACCUAGCUACAGGUUUUUUAUGCAGCCUUUGUAGGCAAGAUUAAGGAUGAGGCUUUGUCUUUAAAAAGCCAUCGAAGGAUUUGAGAGAGGAAAAUGAUAAGGCCAUAUAUGUUAUGUAUAUCCACUGCCAUGGUCAUACAACUUUGAAGUUCCAGAUGUUAUGUGUUCUGCCAUGCUGUCCUUUAGGUGUCUUCUGGUCCUUCACAAUAGCCAUGUUUAAUCCUGAGAUUUGAGUUGGAGUGUUUCGUUUGCAUCUUUUUUUCUUUCCGUCAAUUCCACCUGAGAAAUUGUAAAACUGCGAAUCUUUUCUUAAAAAUCAUUUUAACAUUUGCUGAUUGCUCACAGUUCAAUGAAUAUGUAUUGAACAUUUGCUUGGUACUAGAUUCUGGAGCUAUAAAGAAGAAAAGAGCAAUUCCCUGUACCUGAGAUGCUUAUAUAUUUUCCUGGGGAAAUAGACAUGCAAACAGAUAUUUAAAAUGCAGCAUGGGCUGGGUGCAGUGGCUCACACCUGUAAUCCUAGCACUUUGGGAGCUGGAAGCAGGCAGAUCACUUGAGGUCAGUAGUUCGACACCAGCCUGGCCAACAUGGCAAAAGCCCAUCUCUACUAAAGAUACAAAAAAAAAAAUUAGCCAGACAUCAUGGUGCAUGCUUGUAGUCCCAGCUAUUCAGGAGACUGAGGCACGAGAGUCGCUUGAACCUGAGAGGUAGAGGUUGCAGUGAGCAGAGAUCACGCCACUGCACUCCAGCCUAGGUGACACAGCAAGACUCCAUCUCAAAUAAUAAUAAUAAAAUAAUAAAAUGCAGUGUGAUAAAUGCUUGAUAGAGAAAGGGGCUAAACCAGAAAGUUGUUGGGAGCAGGAGAAAACAGCAUUCACGGAAGAGGAACAUGUAAAGGCAAGAGAUCUGUGAAAAGUCGUGUUGUUAUCUGAGUAAUGGAAAACAUUUCCCUGUGGCUGGAGCUCUGGGUGAGCAGGUGAAGCAAAAUGAGAUGAGGUUGGAGGGACAGGUUGGGGCCAAAACGAAGGGCCUUCUAUGGUAUGCUGAGGUUUAGGGCUUUUUCUUAUAGACAACAGGAGAUAAUGGAGGUCUUUUCACAAACAUUUGGCAUUAAAAAAAAAAAAUUCUGGUGGCAGCAUGAAGGACAGACUAAGAUUGGGAGAAAGUAGGAACCAGGAUACCAUUUAAGCCACUAAUGGUACGCUAAGGUAGUGUCACAUACUGGAAAGGCUUUGAAAGGAAGGAAAAAGUAGGAGUGAACCUAAGAAAUACCAGAAUUCAAAAGACAGCCAGAAGAAGGGGAGCCUGCUUUAAAGGCUAUGCCAUCUUCGAAUCAAAAGGGCAAGGAAGUAUUGAGAGGUUAGAAAGUAGUUCAAAAGUAGCUAAAAAGGGAUCAUAAAGCCCUGAAAAUAGGCUUUUGGUGACCAGUGUGAAGAGUUGUUUUAGUGGCUCAGCAAGGAGAAAAUUCCCUUUAUUUUGAGUCUUACACUCAAGUUUAUGUCCUAUUUUAAAUGGUUUGUUACAGUAUUAACUAAUACGGGGUACUUUUGAGUAUGCUAAAUAAGAAGUAAAUUAGAUUUGAUGCUGGAAUGAUUUAAUUAUGUUUACUUAAGCUUUAUGUUAAAUAGCUUAGAGGAUAGAACAUUAGUAAUGAUAGCUAACAUUUGUUACAUGUCAGGCCAGGGUUUAGUUUUUUGCAUAUAUUGUUUCAAUUAAUCCUGUGAGGUAGAUACUAUCAUUAUGCACAUUUCACAGAAAAUGCUGAGGCAUUGUAUGAGAACAAGCACCCUAUUUUGUUUUACUUUUUGUAGUCGUCUUUGACUUUACUCUUAAGUCAGUCUGGUGACAUAGCUAGGUAAACUGAGGACAAAUUCAGCUUCAUUCACAUCUGGCAAGAACCCUCCUCCCUCCUCCUAGCUCUUUCCCCAUUUGUUACCUCAUCUGUCUCCUGUUUGGGUACUAUUCUUGUACUUCAUCUUGUCAGCUGAAUUUGGGUCUUCUGACCUAAAUUUUAGUGCUCCCUAACGAUCUAAAAUUACACUUAACUUUGCUCUUUUCUGUUAUUUGCCUAAGCUUGGCCCUGGGCACCCAAACCCUAUUACCCAGCCUGCUUGGUUAGCCCCCUCUUAAAAGCUGCUUUGUCUCCACAGCACAGUGCCUUGCAUACUUUAGGCAGGUACUCAGCAGGAUUUUGAAAUCUAGUAUGUAGUGAGUGUCUCUUUAGAACUUAAGAAGCUGGAAGAGGCAUAGAGAAGAGAGGUCUGAAAAUGUCUCAGAGCUAAGGAAGAUACGAUGUUGAGAUAAGGGAAUGACCAGUGAUGUCAGAUAAUGAUUAUGGGAAGAUCGAUGGGGUUUGGCAAAUGGGAUGUCAUUUGCAUAAUCUUCUGGUGAGCAGUUUAACUAUAAACCAGAUUGUUAGGAAUGAAGAAUUUAUAAGAAGAAAAUGGAGGCAGCCAAAUUUUAUAGAUCAUUCUUUUCAGAAAGUUGUCCAUUUCAAAAAAUAGAAUCAGGAUUUUGGUUUGAAUGAAAGUUGGGUUUUGUUUUUGUUUCAUGUGCAUGAUUGGACAGACCAAAGUUUGUUAGGCAGAUGUUAGAAAGAGUUGGUGAAGGGGCAAGAGUGAAGACAGCAGGGAAGAGAAGCAGCAAGAAGGAAUGAUUGAGAUAAUGAUCUCUCAGAUGCCCAGAACAGUUGUGAGAGGGAAUCAAGGACAAAGAUGCAGCUGUUAGAAAAAGGAGGCAGGCCCAGGCGCAGAGACUCACUCCUGUAAUCCUAGCACUUUGGGAGGCUGAGGCAGGUGGAUCACCUGAGGUCAGGAGUUCAAGACCAGCCUGGCCAACAUGGUGAAACCCUGUGUCUACUAAAAAUAUAAAAUUAGCUGGGCAUGGUGGUGCACGCCUGUAAUCCCAGCUACUCGGGAGGCUGAGGCAGGAGAAUCACUUGAACCCAGGAGGUGGAGGUUGCAGUGAGCCGAGAUGGUGCCACUGCACUCCAGCCUGGGCGACAGAGCGAGACCCUGUCUCAAAAAAAAAAAAAAAAAAAAAAAAAAUUAUGCUUCCCUACAAGGCUAGGGGUGGAGGAGUAGUUCAUAUAAGGGUAGUGGUAUUAUACAAAUCUUAAACAAUAAGAAAAUUACUAGGUUUUCGAGGGCCUGAAAAGAAUCUAUAAGUUAUAAAAAAUAUAUCCAGAUCUUCUUUAAAUGAUUUAAAUUCUUACAGUGUUGGGAAGGGUUCAAUAUGCAUAAUUUAGGAUAAGUCAUAUUUACAAAUCUUCUCUGCAAGCCCCUUCCUAUGUGUUAAGAGAUGGAGAAAUAUCAAGUUCAUUUGACCCUUUAACCCUAAGAGAUGAGUGUUUCAUAUUUUGAAAUAUUUUACUAGCUAUAAUUUCAGAUGCAGCUGCUUUUAAAAGAGUGUCUGCUGAUUAUGAAAAGCUGGGUUUUGAGAAUAAGUACUAGAGUAGACUAUUUGGAAUCCAGGAGUUUUAUUUUACUACUUUACAUCUGCAUUGCAUCAGACAUGGCGCAAGUUAGCAUUCCAUUUUUCAUGCUUUUGUAGCCCUAUUUUAGGUCUGUCUGUGCUCAGAAUUGGUUUAUAUUUUCACCAUAAUCUAUUCAUUUGCCUGCACAGCAUACAGCUGAUAGAUUAUAUGCAAUGAGUUUUAAAUUCUACACCUAUUUCUUUUACUAUAGCCUUCUCCCAUCAUUUGCCAGCCCACAUGUGGGAGCAUGGAGUAAUUUUAAUAUUAGCCAAAUAAAAAUUUAAUUCAGAAAGCAUAUCUGCCAAAAGUAUCAUGUGCAGAGCCUCACAAAGCCUAAUAUAUACAUGUAUACAUGAUGGUUUCAAUUCCAUUAUAUUUUUGGAUAGUGUCAGUAUUCCCCUCCACUGGCAUGAAUAAUUAGUGGGAAUAUCUGUAUUUUGAAAAUUCAAAAAUUUAUUCCCUGAAGAUACAGACUUGAGGAAAGAAAUUUAGCCUACUCAAAACACACCAGAAUGUUACCUUGAAAGCAGUUUACAUUAAUCUUAUUCAGAAUUAGAAAGUCGAUGCAGAAUCAGAGAGCUGAAAAAGAUGGCCUGCGACAUUCUGAUUGUAUGGUUGGUAUUUGACUUUUUUGUUUUUUCUUCCAGAAGCAAUGCAUGUUCACUAUAGAAAAUCAGACAAUGCCAAAAGGCAACAAGAAGAAAAUAGAGAACACUUAAACGCAUUACCCAGAGAUAACCAACGUAAAUGUAUUGGUGGAUAUCCUUAGACGUUCUUCUAUGUGACAGAAUAUAUCUAUUUAUCUUUAAGAAAAUAAUAGAUUGAUUCCAUUUUCUAAGUGAGCUCGGAAAUUUUCUUUUGGCUUUUUUAUGACCAUGUUAUUAUUUAAUAAAACCUGUCAUUGUGGAGACUUAGAAAACAUCCUUCCUUUACUUCUUCGGGAAUGAGAAAUUACACGUAGGCAAUUUAUUCAACAUUUUUCAUUAUGUCAGCAUGAUUAGAUGCCAAAUGGCUGUUUGGAAUUUUUGAAGGUAUGUUUUUUGGACACUUUGCCAGGGAAAUCAUAACUCUUAAAAUUCUCCAGUAACCCUAACCAUACAAUUGGAGUUAUGGAUAGAUACUAUGUUCCAUGUUUUGUUGUUUUCUCACUGUUUCAGUAUCUGGGAUUAAUGCCAAAAACUAUUCAGCCUCACUCAUUUAUUAAAUGAGGGUGUCCAACUAAGUUUAUACAAUAGAGUUUAGAAAAAAAAGAAGACCUUGUUUGUUUAUCAUUCUAGUUAGGUGUUUUUACAUGAGCAAGAAAGAAAAGUAUUGUUUCUUAAAUUCCUUGAUGAACUUGCCUGGUUGAGAAGUAGAGUAUCAUGGAUAACAGAAUUAAUUACCUGACACCCGAGCCACAAGCAGACAUCCUUGCUUAUUCCAAACCGUCCUCCACACCGCUGCCAAAGUUGUUUUCUCAAAUUCAAAUUGAUUACUUUCCUUCUUAAAGCCCUGAGUAGCUCCUCUUUACCCGCCCUACAGAUUUAAUUUAUGACUCUUUAGAAUGUGAAACAGGCUUUCUGUAAUCUGUCAACCCCACUCUUAAAUUCUUUACUCCAGUCAUAUUAAAGUACUUGGAAUUCUCUGUUAAUGUUGAUUUCAUACCCCUAUACAUUUUUUCCUGUUCUCCCCUCUUUUUGGAAUGUGCUAUCAAACCAUGUCAGGUCAAGCAUCGCUUCCUCUACAAAACCUUUCCUUACCAUCUCCGCUGCCCUACUUUCCCUGCUUGGGGAAAAUAGACUCUUUAUGCCUCAUUGUUUAUGCAUACAUAUGAGUAAUUGUAUCUCACCAGCAGUAACACACUGUUGUACCUCUUGUUUUCACAUGUGCUUCUCCUUAUUAGACUAUAAACUCCAUUCACCAUCUUUCUGGAGCUGUCAUCUUUCAUUAGGAACAUCGUAAUAGCCUUUCAGCUAGUAGCCUGCCCCCCUCCACUGUUACCUGCUUUUGAAGUGAUUCUCCCCAUCUCCAGAGUAAGUGGGCUCAUCAAACUAUGCUUCUCUGUGUGAAAGGUGUGGUGGUGGGAACUGGGUGAAAUUAGCUCCAGGACACCAUUAGCACUUGGUCUAAUUUAUUUACUACAGUAGGUAUCCAUGUGCUGAGAGGUUCUCAAGAAGGAUGGGGAGUGGGGAAGAGUAGGAGUAAGUGGAGAAAGUAGGGGCUGAGAAACUAGGUGAAGAAUCAGAAUCAGGUGUAGACAGCCAUACGAGUCACAGAUCUGAAAAGGUCGAGUUAGCCAGAGUUCAACCAGGGCUGCCAGAACUUGUGUGGUUAGGGUGUGCCAGGCAGUGCCGUUAGGAGCUUCCAUGUAUUCAAGGGUUGGAGUGGUCAUGAAAUGAGAAAACGCUGUGCAGUGACAAAAAGUAGUUGCAAAAUUCUGAGUUUGGAGCCGAGAGGAACAUACACUGUGGGAGAUACAACGAGCAGCCUAAGUCAGAGUCUUGUCAAAAUCCAUUUCAUGAAAAGCUGAACUUUCAAAAUAGUGUAGUUAUAUUUGGUGCAUUGCAAUGCCACAUAAUUUCCUCCUUGACCACUAUAUUAAAGGGUUGCUUUCAAACGUCUUCCCCAAAUGGUAAACAUGAUUCCAAGUGGUUUAAGUUCACAUUUCUGUCAACAGAAAUUUAACUUUUGUGGUUCUGAUGGGUGAGAAGUGAUAACUCAGGAUUACUUUAGUUUGGAUCUUUCUGAUUACUGUUCAGAUCAUGCAUUUUUUCAUGUUUACUGUUUAGAUUUGCUUUUCUGAAAAUGCCUAUUCACACAUUCUUUACUCGUUUUUCUGUGGAGUUUUUUUUUUCUUUUUCCUGUAAAUUUUUGGUCACUCAUUUCAUACUAUAGGUAUUAACCUUUUUCUGAUACAUCCCAGAUAUUUCUUGAAGUCUACUGUAUAAUAAGAUUAUUCUUUUCUUUAUGGUAUCUUUGACAAUACACAUGUUUAAAAAAUUAUCUUUUCCUUUGCAACUCCCUGGUUUGCUAUUUCAGUUGAGAAUGUUUUCCUAACCUGUAGUGUAUAAAUUCAUUCUCUUAAAUUUUAUUCUAACAUAUUAAUUUUUUUACAUUUUUGUUUUUAAUCCAUAUGGAUUUAACUUUGGAUAUGGAUUAAAUAGAGGUCUAGUUUUUUUUCCUCUAGAUGGCUAUAUUAAAAUCCCAUGUAUACUAAGAUACAUUUUGGCACUCCCCAUUUUAAAGAUUUAUUUUUCUGAGUAAUACUAGCCAACACAUAUCAGUGCAUAUACUAUAGAUGUCAAAUCCUGUCCUGGGUGCUUUACAUACUUUACUUCAUUUAAUCCUGGCAGCAUCAUUGUGGGUAAAUUCUGUUCCACAUGAACUUUAAAAUGCCUUUAUCAAAUUAAAAAGAAACCAUUGGAAUUAUGAUUAGAAUUACAUGAAAUUUAUAUAUGGAUUUUUUGGAGAAUUGACAUGCUUUAUGUCUUUCAAUAAUAUUUUAUUUUCUUCAUAUGUCUUAAACCUGUCUUGUCAAAUUUAGCCUUAAGCAUUCUGUACUUUUAUCACUAUUACAGAAAGAAUAUAGUCAUACGUCUCUUAACAAUAGGGAUAUGUUCCGAGAAAUGCAGCAUUAGGCGAUUUUGUCGUUGUGAAAAAUGUCAUCGUGUCGUUACACAAACCUAGGUGGGAUAGCCUACUAACACCUAGGCUGUAUGGUCUAGCCUAUUGCUUCUAGGUUACAAACCUGCAUGGUAUGUUACUGUAUGGAAUCCUGUAGGCCACUGUAAUACAGUGGUGUUUGCUUAUUUAAAUAUAUCUAAACAUGGAGAAGGAACAGUAAAAAUAAAGUGUUUCAUUAUAAUCUUAAGGGACCACCAUCAUAUGUGCAGUCCGUUGUUGACUGAAACAUCAUCAUGUGGCAUAUGACUGUGUUUUUCCAUUCUCACUUCUUUUUGGUUACUGCUGUAACCAUUCCUACAGAUGCAGUAAGGAUGGUAUGUGUAUUAGUCAGGUUUGUCUAAAUUACACUGCAAUAACAAGCAACCUGAAAAUAUCAGUGGCUUAUAACAACAAAAAAUUUCCUGCUCAUACUGCAUGCCCAUCCCAAGCUGGCUGCAGCUCUGCUUCACAUCACCCUUACUCUGGGGCCCAGGCUAAUGAAACCAUUGCUGUCGGGCACAUUGCAGUCUUGUAGUAGAGAGGAGUCAAAGUAUAGCAUCUACUGGUUCUGAAAGCUCCUGCCAGGAAGUGUCACACAUCACUUCCCCCACACUUUAUAAGCCAAAGCAAGAAGUGCCCAUAUCCGACAUUGAAGCAUCCGGGAUGCCUAUGUUCUCCACAAGGAAGGGCCCUUCAAGUCACAAUGCCAAGCCUGACACCUAAGAAAUAACCAGUGAGAUAGGAUCAGUACUCUUUCAACUUGAAGGGCAGCAAAUAUUUUGAUCACUAAUACCAUGUAUCGCAAUAUUUUUUUGUUAAGUUGGCGAGAUUGAGAAAUCCUAGAAAAUGACACCUAUGCAAUAGAUGUUUAUCUCCAUUCAACCAUAAUUGGUUUUUCUCUUACUUUCAAGUAUGCAAGAAGGUGACGCUUUUUCUUGUCUCUUAAAUAUAGCCAGCCAGGUGCAGUGGGUCAUGCCUGUAAUCCCAGUACUUUGGGAGGUCAAGGCAGGUGGAUCACCUGAAGUCAGGAGUUUGAGACCAGCCUGGCCAACAUGGCAAAACCCUGUCUCUACUAAAAAAUACAAAACAAAAUUAGCCUGGCAUGGUGGCAGAUGCCUGUAAUCCCAGCUACUAGGGAGGUUGAGGCAUGAGAAUCGCUUGAACCCGGGAGGCGGAAGUUGCAUUGAACCGAGAUCUCACCACUGCACUCCAGCCUAGAGGAUACACCGAGACUCUAUCUCCAAAAAAAAAAAAAAAAAAAAAAAAUUAGAUAUAGCCAUGUGACUAAUCCUGGCCAAUGAAAAUGUGAGUAGAAGUGAUGUGUGUGUUUCAUUCCUGCACAGAAGCAUUGAGAAGUUGAAGCAUGAUUCUCCAUAUCUUCCCUGUCAUAGUGAUAAUAGAAGUAUAUGCUGAUGUAGAAGUACCGAAAGGGUAAAGUAGCUAGAAUGUCAUCAUAUAGAAGACAGUGGCUCUGGAUGUCAUCCAGAUAAAGAGUCUGUGGUUUUAAGUCACUGAGACUUAAGGGUUUUUUUGGUUUUACUUCUUUAUUACUGUAAUAUAACCUAGCCUAGCUUUAAUCAGGAUAGGCUAGGUUAUGCUGUAGUAAUAAUACAUAUUUAAAAUAUUUUAACAUAAAACAUAUGUGUGUGUGUAUAUAUAUAUAUUCAUUUAUCCAUAAUGUGAUGUAGGACAAGGUCCUUCUCUUAAGUAUGGGUCUACUGAUUUGGAGUACCAUGAUAUCUUUCUUGCAUAAACUACAUCAAUAAUGCAUCAUAUACAGUUUUCAGUUUGGAUUUCUCUAAUGUGGUUCAAUAACUUAAUAAGACUUGUAGAAAAAUGCAAAUACAAAAUCUUAAAAUUUUCUCCUUAUGCUUUACAAUUGUUAUGCCCAAACCAACAGCAUUUUUUUGCAACCUGUCUUUAUUGAACCUUUCUAAAGCAGACAACAGCUUCCAUGAAAACAAAAAUUCAUUCUUAUCACAUUAUUAUGUGUUGGCUUCAGUAGUAUUUGUUCAAGUUACUUGGUUUAUAAUAACAGUACAACUGUCAUAAAAAUGUUUAGGAGCAAGCACAACUAGAAAUUGGUAAACAAACAACUCAUCUGGUAAAAGUGGAGUACAUGGUUAUGUAAGCGAGUAGCUCACAAGUUGAGUGCAUUUUUUCUGCCAUAAGCAAUAGUCUGUAGGUUUCACAGAUGACAUUGAGAGCUUGUGUAAACCCCAAGAGUUAUUUAGAUAGAAGCAAACGAAGAGAACAUAUGGAGAACAAUGUACACACGUAUGUAUAUUCACAUAUUUAUGUAUCUUUGUGUAUUUAUCUUGUGUCCAGCCAUGUUAAUUAAACAGAUAUGUUCUUUUUAAAAGCAUAUCUUAGAGCUUCUAAGUAUGUUGGCAUAUUAUCAGCAAAAAGAUAAUUUAAUCUCUUCUUUCCCAAAUUUAUAUUAUUUUCUUUCCUUAUCUUACUGUACCUGCUAAAACCUCCAAAAUAAUGUUGAAUAAAUAAUGGUGAUAGUGAAUGUCCCAGUUUUUUUCCUGAUUUCAGUGUAAGUAUAUUUAGUGUUUCACUCUUUGGGACGAUAUAUGUUAUUAGUUUUUUGGUAAGGUCUUUAAUAUUUUAGGUGGUAACUUUCUGUGGCAGAGACUGGCUAGAUGCUCACCCAUACAUUUUCCUUUUCUCCUGAGAACAGAGAUCAACUACAUUUUCCAGUCUUGCUUAUGGUUAUGUAGACCCAACCUAACUGAAUUUUGAUCAGAAGAAUGUGGGUGGAAAAAAGAGAUUAUGUUUCCAGUACUAACCCUGAGCCUCCCACACUCUCCACACUGCCUUCCUUUCUCUACCAGUCAGAUGCAGAGGACUUGGGACAUCUUUCUAGAAGAUGGAAGAACUACUGAUGGAAAGAGCCCAGGUCUUUGAAUGACUGUGGGUAGGAGAGCUCCAUUGUUGUCCCACACUGGAUUAUGACAUGAGGAAAAAUAACUUACUGUGUCAAGCCAAUAAAGUUUGGGGCUCUUUGUAGGACAAGUUAGCUUCUGCUGACUAAAACAUCUAGUCAGAUGUUACAGAGAGUUUUUAAUUGGGAUGACUGCUCAACUUUUUCAAAUGCCUUUUAAUCAUCUAUUUAUAUAAUCACUAUUUUUCCCCCGCUAAUUUGCUGGCAUGAUGAAUUAUGUUGACAGGUUUCUUAAUAUUGAAAUCAUACCUGUAUUCCUAGACUAACCCCACUUGUUUAUAUUUUUUUAUUUUGAAAUAUUGUUUCUUAAAAUUGUAUCCAGAAUUUUUGCAGUUAUAGUCUUAAGUGAGGUCAUUCUAUAUUUUCCUUUGUUAUACUAUUUUUAAUCAGAUAUUCAGAUUAAUAUUUUGCUGACUUUAUACAAUUAAAUGUGGAGCUUUCUGUCUUUUUCUAUGGUCUAGAAUGAUUUGAUUUUAAAAACAUUGAACCAGGUGUAGUGGCUUAGUCUGUAAUCCCAGCUAUUUGGGAAGCUGAGGCAGAAGGAUCAAUUGAGUCCAAAAGUUAAAGACCAGACUGGGCAACACAGCACAACCCCAUCUCUAAAAAAUAUUUUUGUUGGAUUUAUUUCUAGAUAUUUUACAUUUUGUGUUAUUGUAUCCCCUUAAAAU
rnacentral:lncRNA from 1 species